UCCACUGUGGGAUGGGAUCUGAAAGAAGCUGAUGUGGGGAAUACACUAACCUACGGGCAAAUCUCUGAUUUGACAAACAGAAAUCAUAUAAGAGAUUAAGCAUAAGGGUAAGACUGUAGGACAAGUUGAAGCUCAAUAACUACACGGAGUCAUGCAUGAUAAAUGUGACAGAUGGAUGGAGAACUUGAAAGUCCG
rfam:Eubacterium sp. 14-2 genomic scaffold acPFD-supercont1.1, whole genome shotgun sequence.